rnacentral:rRNA from 1 species
AGUGAACGCUGGCGGUAGGCCUAACACAUGCAAGUCGAACGGCAGCACAGUAAGAGCUUGCUCUUACGGGUGGCGAGUGGCGGACGGGUGAGGAAUACAUCGGAAUCUACUUUUUCGUGGGGGAUAACGUAGGGAAACUUACGCUAAUACCGCAUACGACCUACGGGUGAAAGCAGGGGAUCUUCGGACCUUGCGCGAUUGAAUGAGCCGAUGUCGGAUUAGCUAGUUGGCGGGGUAAAGGCCCACCAAGGCGACGAUCCGUAGCUGGUCUGAGAGGAUGAUCCGCCACACUUGAACUUAGACACGGUCCAGACUCCUAAGGGAGGCAGCAGUGGGGAAUAUUGGACAAUGGGCGCAAGCCUGAACCAGCCAUACCGCGUGGGUGAAGAAGGCCUUCGGGUUGUAAAGCCCUUUUGUUGGGAAAGAAAAGCAGCAGGUUAAUACCCCGCUGUUCUGACGGUACCCAAAGAAUAAGCACCGGCUAACUUCGUG